rnacentral:rRNA from 1 species
UUGGAGGGCAAGUCUGGUGCCAGCAGCCGCGGUAAUUCCAGCUCCAAUAGCGUAUAUUAAAGUUGUUGCAGUUAAAAAGCUCGUAGUUGAAUUUCGGAGUCAGUACGUUGGUCGUGCCUUAGGUACGUACUGGUGUUACUGGUUUCUACCUUCUGACGAACCAUCAUGUCAUUCAUUUGGUGUGGCGGGGAAUCUGGACUGUUACUUUGAAAAAAUUAGAGUGUUUAAAGCAGGCUCGCGCUUGAAUACAUUAGCAUGGAAUAAUGAAAUAGGACGUUGAUCCUAUUUUGUUGGUUUCUAGGAUUGACGUAAUGAUUAAUAGGGAUAGUCGGGGGCAUUAGUAUUCAAUUGUCAGAGGUGAAAUUCUUGGAUUUAUUGAAGACUAACUAGUGCGAAAGCAUUUGCCAAGGAUGUUUUCAUUAAUCAAGAACGAAAGUUAGGGGAUCGAAGACGAUCAGAUACCGUCGUAGUCUUAACCAUAAACUAUGCCGACUAGGGAUCGGAUGAUGUUAUUUUUAAUGACUCAUUCGGCGCCUUACGGGAAAC